CAUGUAGAUUCUAGCCAUAUAUAUGUAUAUAUGUGUGUGUGUGUGUGUGUGUGUGUGUGUGUGUGUGUGUAUUCAGAUACACAGACACAAAAACAUAUAUGUGGGUGCCAUAUA
rnacentral:miRNA from 14 species